CUUACUGUUCUCUUCUAGGUCCUCUGUGCCGACGUCACACAACCUGACCUAAAGAGGAAAUUAGCAGGUGUGUGAUCAAGCUAAUCAAAUGAUGCCCACCUGCUCUCAAUUCAAGCGAGGCUUUCUCCAAAGACCCGUGGGCAGCAGGAAAAGGCCGAGGAUUAUUCUCUACAACAGUCGACCACUUGAUUGAGCUAAGAAAGAUGCACACUGCUGGAUGAAAACACCCUUUGCUAAUUUGACUUUACUUGGUAAUCCAGUGGGUACAGGGUACCUAUAAAGGGCGGCUUUGGGUCUUAGAUAUAUUGGAUGCACUGUCAUAUCUGUAUUUUAUGUCACACAGCUAAAUUAAAGUAAAUUGUGUAUUGGGUAGAAUAUAAAAAAGGAUUUUGCA